rnacentral:misc_RNA from 1 species
ACAGGAAGGCACAACAAUCUCUCCUAGAGGAAAAACUCAAUUUAAGACAAAUAACAUUUAGUUUUCUCCCUCUUAGCGAAUUAAAAUCCUUCAAAUAUUGUUACCAUGUGGUACACUAAUGAGUUGUAUUCUCAGUCUUAGACAUUUUGGGUAGUGCUUCAGAAAUAAAGACAAGCAGAAUGAACUGAAUUUCAAAUCAUACUCAAACAAAUUUUUUCUUCUCUUCUAAAAUUCUAAGACUA